AUAGUUUUAAAAUGUAUUGGUAUUAGAAGCAUUAAUGUUUUCACACCAUUAUGUGAGAUGUGCCUCCCUUAAACCUUGUUAUGACAUUGGCACUGCACCUGUCUAAUG
rnacentral:snoRNA from 1 species